CAGCCUCGGGUCUGGGGGCUCUGAGGAUCUUUAUUUUAUCUCCCUGUCUUUCUAUCCUCCUCCCAGGUCAGCCCAAGGCAUCCCCCAUGGUCAUGGCCUAUGCUCCAUCCCCAGAUGAGCUGCAGACCACAAAGGCCACACUCGUGUGUCUCAUCAACAGCUUCUACCCAGGCUCCGUGGAGGUGACCUGGACCAAGAAUGGCUCCCCUGUGUCCAGUGGGGUGCACACCAGCAAGCCAACACGCCAGAGUGACAACAAGUACUCAGCCAGCAGUUACCUCUCA